rnacentral:rRNA from 1 species
CUGGCUCAGGAUGAACGCUAGCGGCAGGCUUAACACAUGCAAGUCGAGGGGCGAGCACGGGUAGCAAUACCUGGUGGCGACCGGCGCAAGGGUGCGUAACGCGUGAGCAACAUGCCCUAUACAGGGGGAGUAAACCAGGGAAACUUGGACUAAUACCCCAUAGCAUUUAUUUAUGGCAUCAUGAAUAAAUUAAAGCUUCGGUGGUAUAGGAUUGGCUCGCGCGACAUUAGCUAGAUGGUGAGGUAACGGCUCACCAUGGCGAUGAUGUCUAGGGGUUCUGAGAGGAAGGCCCCCACACUGGGACUGAGACACGGCCCAGACUCCUACGGGAGGCAGCAGUGAGGAAUAUUGGACAAUGGAUGGAAAUCUGAUCCAGCCAUGCCGCGUGCCAGGAAGACGGCCCUAUGGGUUGUAAACUGCUUUUAUACGGGAGCAAUAAGGUCUACGUGUAGACUGAUGAGAGUACCGUAUGAAUAAGCAUCGGCUAACUCCGUGCCAGCCGCCGC